UAUAAGCAUCAGUGACGUUGGGCUACAGGCCACGCCCCCCUCGGAUGGACAGGAAUCUGGGAGCUGAAGUGAAAUUUUAUGUCUCUCCUCUGCUGAUGUUCUUUCGCUUUUAACUCAUCUCCGUCUACACACACUCGCCAGAGACUCUUCUUCUGUCCGUAAAAGUCUUGUCAAACCAAAAACUGUGUAUGCAGAUAUAUGAAAAAACGCUGCUGCAAAGUCUAAGUUCAGAGGAAGUGGGCUAAAAAAAAAAGACCUAUUGAUCAGAUGGACCCAGCAUUCAAAUCAUGAGGACGGGUUAUGUGCAUCCACACACAAAGCUCUAUUCAUGGCCUGAGCAAGCACAUCAGAGGGCAGCAAAGGCUCCAUAAACAAAGAGGCCAAACAGAUCACGCUGGAAUCUCCUCAGUCGUCUGGAUAAAUCCAAUCUUCAGACAGAACAUCUUCAAUCAAAUCAAAUCUCAGUAUAAUUUCAGCUCCAGAGCCAGAAUCUAAUAAAAUCACUGGACUUGUUCUGAUAUAGUUUUGCCUGCCCAUGUUGUGCACUAUUUGCUUUUAAUAGCCCGAGUUAAAAAAUUGAAUUGUGAAAGGAGUAUACGCAAAGAUCUCUGAGCUGUUCCCUGCAGUGGAGCUGCAUCAAGAAGGACAUUACUGAGCCUCGUCUAUGUGGUCAAACAGAGUUCAUUGUGAUCAGAAAGUUCCUCUGUUCUUCUGCCAACUCUUUAGUGCUUCAGUCACCUUAUUUUAUUCAGAGAUAUAUGUCUGACAAAAAAAAAAAAAAAUCUAACUUUCAAUCCCUGGAGUCCAAACAAACAGCAUUUGUAUCAGUGAUUUUAGUGAGUGGAUUUUUAGAAGCAAACCUUAACACUGUGUCACAUUGCCUUUAGGUCCCUUAGGAAUAUCCAGGUUGGAUAUUUCCUUACCUGGCGUGAUGUUUUGUGCACCUUGAACAUUGAAUGUUGAAAGCGGUGUUAACAGCUGCUGAGAUCAGUGAAAUAUGCAUGCCUGCUGCAAAUUUGUGUGUUGUUUCUAAUAUACAGUAAAUACACAAAAAAAAGAAUACAUUCAAAUACAGUAAGUACCAAAUAGGACCCAGUUUGUUGUUAUUUCCCAGAACUGUUCAACUUUCACACUGUGGUUUAAGACGAAUUUUAAGCUCUGUAUGCUACCUAGAGACUUGAGGUAGCAUACAGAGGAAUCAGAAACCCUUUUUAGAGAUAUAUUUAACUUCCACCAAUAUUUCAUUUUAUUUUUAUGCUGUUUCAUUUUGAAAAAAAUGGACUGACUGAAAUAUUAAUGUUCCUGUUGGGGAAAUGCUGCAGCUAUUUUAA